UGUGCCAUAGCCGGCUGUGCCAGGCCAUGCCAUGCCCAUGCCAUACUGUGCCAUGCCGUACUGUGCCAUGCCAUGCCAUGCCUGGCUGUGCCAUGCCAUGCCAUGCCAUGCCAUACCGUGCCAUACCACACCAUGCCUGCUGUUUUGAGCCCCUCCAGCUGUGUCCAGCUGCCCGCUGCUCUCUGCCCAGAGCCGUGCGGGUCUGGGGGUCUCAGCAGCGCGGCCGGGGUUGGGCUCCCCGCUGCCCGGGAGCAGGAGGAGCCGCGCUGGGUGAGGCCGUGGGCUGGGUGAGUCACUGGCCGCGCUCUGGCCGCGCUCCGGGCACGGAUUCCGCUGCACUCCCACCCGGACGCCGAGCGGGGCGGGGGGCGCCGGGCCGGGCCGCGCCAUGGGCUUCUCGCUCUGCUGCUGUUGCUGCUGCGGGCCGGGAGAAGGUGAGCGGCGGGCCGGGGGGUCGGGGGGAUCGGGAUGCCGUGGCACCCCCCAGGACCCCCGUUCCCCUUCCCAACACGAACAGGUCCGGCCCUGCGUGUGCUGGCGGGCUGCUCCGACCGCGGCCGGGGACAGCGGGACUCGGCGUUGGGCACAGGGGGUCCCGGCAGCUUGGGGGGCGUCCGUGGGGACCCCCGGAAAACGCGCAGGGGGCUGUCCUUGGCACAGGGACCCCGGUGGGAACGGGAAGCCGGGAGGAACGGGCGCUGGAGCGAGCGGUUCGUGCGGGGGGACAGGAGCUGUCCCCACCCCCGGGGCUCUGUGUGUGCGGAGGGGCCGGGACGAGGCUGCGGGAGAUUUCGGGGUGCCCCGUGACUGCAGCGCCGGCUGGUCCAGGGGGCUCCGGGCGGAGGGGCGCGGGUGGGGGGCACAGGGGGCUGCUGUGUGCCGGCUUUGUGGGGUGCAGAGUCCCGGCACGGGGGUCCCGAGUGCCGGAGGGGAUGAUGUCCCGUCCGGAGAUCGCCCCGGGGUACGGGAUGGAGUUCCCCCUCGGAUCCCUCGGGUUUCCCCGGGUGCUGCGGGCGGUGGCGCAGCCGGAGCCGCCGAGGGGAGGGCGGGGCGGAGCGGGGCGGGUCCCGCCCGUUUCCCCCCCCCGCCCGUCCCGUCCGCCCGGUGCCGCUGCUCGGUCCCGGCCGUGGGUCCGUCGGUCGCUCGGUGGAUGGUGGGUCCCGUCCAGUCCCGUCGGGUGGAGCGGCGCGGCCAUGUCGAGCCCCGGUGCCGGUGGGGACUGGCUGAGCGGCGGCUCCGGGCCCGAGCGGCGGCGGUACCUGAGCGC
rnacentral:lncRNA from 1 species